UUUAAGUGCAACCAUAAGUUUCCGUGCCCAACUUUGAUCGUCCGUCUUAUUUGAAUUUUUUUUAUAAUUAUUAUUUUUAUUGUUAUGAGAUGAUAAAAUAUGAAUAGUACUUUUCAAUUUUUUUUCAAAUAUUUUUCAAAUAAGACGAACGGUCAAAGUUGUGUACAGAAAAAAUAUGGUUGCACAUAGA
rfam:Oryza sativa (indica cultivar-group) chromosome 2, whole genome shotgun sequence.